AAAAGCAGCUGCAUCGAGGGGGAGAUUAAAGCCCUUUGCCGCCUUCCAAUCAAAUGGGAGCCCGAGGAAUUUUCUCGAGGACUGGGAAGAGGAGACUUUUGGAGCCGCAGAAAGAAUCGGAGCGACGAGUGUUCUCUCCCCGACGAGCUCCGAUGUGAAGAGGUGGAUGGGCAAUCACUGGAGGUUCUUGAGAAGCGGUGGAGGAU